CUACGGGACGCUGCAGUGGGGAAUAUUGGACAAUGGGGGAAACCCUGAUCCAGCAAUGCCGCGUGUGUGAAGAAGGCCUGCGGGUUGUAAAGCACUUUCGGUUGGGAGGACUGCUUCUAGCACUAAUAUUGUUGGAAGUUGACGUUACCUUCAGAAGAAGCACCGGGUAGCUCCGUGCCAGCAGCCGCAGUAAUACGGAGGGUGCAAGCGUUAAUCGGAAUUACUGGGCGUAAAGCGCGCGUAGGCGGCUAGAUCAGUCGGGUGUGAAAGCCCCGGGCUUAACCUGGGAACUGCAUCCGAUACUGUCUAGCUUGAGUACAGGAGAGGAGAGUGGAAUUCCACAUGUAGCGGUGAAAUGCGUAGAUAUGUGGAGGAACACCAAUGGCGAAGGCAGCUCUCUGGCCUGAUACUGACGCUGAGGUGCGAAAGCGUGGGGAGCAAACAGGAUUAGAUACCCUUGUAGUC
rnacentral:rRNA from 1 species